rnacentral:rRNA from 1 species
AUUGAACGCUGGCGGCAGGCCUAACACAUGCAAGUCGAGCGGAUGACGGGAGCUUGCUCCUUGAUUCAGCGGCGGACGGGUGAGUAAUGCCUAGGAAUCUGCCUGGUAGUGGGGGACAACGUUUCGAAAGGAACGCUAAUACCGCAUACGUCCUGCGGGAGAAAGCAGGGGACCUUCGGGCCUUGCGCUAUCAGAUGAGCCUAGGUCGGAUUAGCUAGUAGGUGAGGUAAUGGCUCACCUAGGCGACGAUCCGUAACUGGUCUGAGAGGAUGAUAAGUCACACUGGAACUGAGACACGGUCCAGACUCCUACGGGAGGCAGCAGUGGGGAAUAUUGGACAAUGGGCGAAAGCCUGAUCCAGCCAUGCCGCGUGUGUGAAGAAGGUCUUCGGAUUGUAAAGCACUUUAAGUUGGGAGGAAGGGCAGUAAGUUAAUACCUUGCUGUUUUGACGUUACCGACAGAAUAAGCACCGGCUAACUCUGUACCAGCCGCCGCGGUAA